rnacentral:sRNA from 1 species
AACAGGGCGAAGAUGGCUCAGAGUUAGGCUGGAGAGGGGAGGUGUCCCUUCCGCUGCGGCCGUCGGGUUUCUGCUACAUCCCAUUCACCGCCUCCUCCAUCCUUUUCUCCUCUGUGUGAGCAGCAGGACUUGCAUUUGUUCUCGCCUGCCUAGUGUCUUCCAAGGGAUAGAUGCCGUUUCCUCUGCUGGUCUCUGGGGGUGACGGGGGGCGCAGGGGAGCUUCUUGGGGGAAUCACUCCAACUCUGUGGAGCUGGUGGUGCUGCCUGGUGGGGCUCUCUCUUUGCCCGGGACGUGGAACAACUUUCAGCUGGAGGACGAGAGGGAAUAGUGAAGCUAAAGGUUGCUUUUCUCUGCACCCUCCGUUCUUGCUCCCUCUGCUCCAUCACUGGGACCUUGUCAGGCGUUCAUAAAGCAAAAUUUGCCGAACGAGGGUUCGCAGAAAGGUGGGGCAGAGCUCAUCUGACGUGGCAUCAGCCCGUGAUUGGUGGUCUACUAUUCUGGGAGAUAAAGAAGAAUUUGAUCAAGGCUGUUUGUGUCUGGCUAAUGUUGACAAUAGUGGAAAUGGACAAGAUAAAAUAAUUGUGGGUAGCUUUAUGGGAUACCUAAGGAUCUUUAGCCCCCAUCCUGCAAAAACAGGAGAUGGAGCUCAAGCCGAAGAUUUGCUUCUAGAAGUGGAUCUACGAGAUCCAGUACUUCAAGUGGAAGU